rnacentral:rRNA from 1 species
CCUACGGGUGGCUGCAGUGAGGAAUAUUGGUCAAUGGGCGGAAGCCUGAACCAGCCAAGUCGCGUGAGGGAUUAAGGCCCUGCGGGUCGUAAACCUCUUUUGCCGGGGAGCAGUGGUCCGGACGCGUCCGGACCGGGAGAGUACCCGGAGAAAAAGCAUCGGCUAACUCCGUGCCAGCAGCCGCGGUAAUACGGAGGAUGCGAGCUUUAUCCGGAUUUAUUGGGUUUAAAGGGUGCGUAGGCGGGCAUUUAAGCCGGCGGUCAAAUGUCGGGGCACAACCCCGGCCUGCCGUUGAAACUGCAUCCCUUGAGUGCGCGAGAAGUAUGCGGAAUGCGUGGUGUAGCGGUGAAAUGCAUAGAUAUCAUGCAGAACUCCGAUUGCGAAGGCAGCAUACCGGCGCGCAACUGACGCUCAUGCACGAAAGCGUGGGUAUCGAACAGGAUUAGAUACCCUUGUAGUC